rnacentral:antisense_RNA from 1 species
CAGACCUGGGACCUACGUCUGCUUCCCCUGAGGAAAUGACCUCGUUUUUGAUGGCUGCUGCUAACUUAUGGUGAGAUGCUGGGUCCCUGUCCAAUACCACAUGGACAUCCAAUCAAUUUACCCAGGGACAAGUCCACUCAAGAGCAUCAUUUAGAAGAGGGAAAGGCAUUGGGGUUGUUUUUGGAGUAUGUGCUUAAGGAAAUCUAGAGUAUUCCCACAAGCAUUCUGCUGAGAUGAACAAUCAGAUGCCCUCGUGUGAGAUUUGGAGGGCAGAAGGAAAUGGAGAGCACGUUUCUGCCGCUUCUGUGGUUUCUGUCGGUAAACACAGUGACGAGGUGCUGAGUUUCCCCCAGAAAGCCUCCCAGUGUCCUGUUACCAGCUUCACAAGUUUCGAGGGCAGGGCAUGGGCAUCCAUUGUUCACCAGUGGAGAUCUGUCUGGCACAGAACUGAUCCAACCAUUGCAGUGGUCACAGCGGUGUUGGCUUUCUGAUUCUCGACCUUCCUGACCGCCAGAGGAGGCAGCCUCUUUGGUGGCCCUGUUCUGUGGUAUUGCGCUAACCAGUGGUGGGACUAAAACUGUCUCUAUAAUGUUUUGUUUCUUAAAAAAAAAUUCUGAAGCAAAUGUGACAAUAUGUUAACAUUCUUAAAAUCUGGGUAGUGGGAACAUGGAUGUUGUUAUUUGUGGUGUGUUUGAAAUUGUGUCAUAUUAUAAAUUUUAAAAAAA